rnacentral:tRNA from 1 species
GGAGGAGUAAGCCUAAUGCUAAGGCAGCGGUCUUGAAAACCGCCAGUAAUCGUGUAACAGCGAUGUGUGGGUUGGAGUCCCACUUCCUCCA